AAGUCGUAACAAGGUCUCCGUUGGUGAACCAGCGGAGGGAUCAUUGCUGGAACGCGCCCCUGGCGCACCCAGAAACCCUUUGUGAACUUAUACCACUGUUGCCUCGGCGCAGGCCGGCCUCUUAGCUGAGGCCCCCCGGAGACGGGGAGCAGCCCGCCGGCGGCCAGCCAAACUCUUGUUUCUAUAGUGGAUCUCUGAGUAAGAAAACAUAAAUGAAUCAAAACUUUCAACAACGGAUCUCUUGGUUCUG
rnacentral:misc_RNA from 1 species